ACGCAUUAAAUAAGUUUGUCGAAUUUGGGACCGCAGAUCUGUACGAUAUGGAACAAAUAUACGCGGAGGCUAAUUACAAAUCAGGCGACGUGGCCGAGAGACGCCAUGCACGAGCUUGUCUCUCACCAAUUCAAUUUCGUCGGAAACACGUCUGAGGUUCACCGGAGAGUGAAAGUAUUCGAUGAGGAUGUACCUUGAAUUGAUGGGUAUAAUUUUCUUUGACUUUUGCCUACUUUCUUACCCUCUUCAAUUCAAAAUUAAAGUGGUAAAAAUAUCUUAACUUUCCAGUUUAUGCUGUCACUUUAAUUUUCAUUGAAACAGUUUAGAGUUGUUCACUUCUGAUAUUAAAUGAAUAUCCCAUGAUUUGCAGGGUUUACUGGUUGGUUUUAUCAACUAUGAUCUUUAAAUCUCUAAUGUUGUUGUUGGAUUUGUGAAUUUGCCAUAUCUGUUUUGUGGGUAUUCAUUUAUUUCUCGAAUUUAGGUCUAAUUUGUUUCCUGCAGUUGCAUGAAUGGAGGGUAUAAAUCGCGGUAAGAUAUUUGAUGCACCCUUUUCGUUUUGAAUCUUGUUAUAUAUGGUGUUUGUUUGGUUGAUAUAGAAAGAAGCAUGGAAAAUGGAAGUUUAAGUAGAAAACCAUGGAAUUGUUUGGUUAACAAAAAAUAUAGGAACUGACACUUCAAAAUAGAGAAAGUCCUAUGGGGAUUUUCGCUUUCCGAACUCAACCAAACAACAUUUCAUAUCUUUUAGGAAAUGAAAUCUUCUUUGAUAUUGGAAAGUCCUUGGAAGUUAUACUUUCUAUGUUUGAUUAAACGACCACAUAGCCUUUUGGACUUGGCUUGUUUGUGGGAAUGGUGAAUUUGAGUGGCAUUAACAAUGCCAGAUAUUCAUUGUUGCUUUCGAGACACCUUCUUACUCAGUGUGGGGUGCUUUGGGAAGAUUUAGAUGGAAGUGUAGCGGGAUUACUUGAUUCAACAAUUGAAACAUGAUAUAUAGCAAGUGGGAAAACAGCACCAUUGGUUUCAAGAAGUGAAUGGCCGACUACUGUACAUACCAUGGGAGAUUGAUCAUAACAAUCACUGCUUCUUUCUUUCCAGCUGCACUUCAAGAUUUCAUGAAUCACCUAUGGAGGUCCAUCAAGGGACUAUAAAACUUACAAGAGGACUUGCAGCCCUUCUGGACUCCUUCAACCCCUUACUUUACUAGCAGUAUGGGGUGAUUUUAACUAUGGGUUUUUUGGAGGAUUGCGCCUUCCCAAGGAGUUGACACUAUUUUGGUUGUGAUGGACAGGUUAUGCAAGUAUAACACAUUUUUUGGGAUGGGAGCAUCCAAUUUCCUGGUCUUUUUGUAAUGGAGGUAGUACAUUUACACGGUUUUCCUUUCUCGACCAUUUUUGAUCGUGACAGAGUGUUGAUGAGCACCUUUAGGCAAGAUUUCACAUACAAGGAAGUGAGAUGCGAAGCUCAAAAGAAGUGCAACUUAUCAUCCUCAAAUUGAUGAACAAAAUGAGAAUGUUGACAUGAGCUUGGAAACUUAUCAGUUAUUCGUGCUACUUUUUCAAUGGUAAACCCCAUUCGUGGGCUGAGUGGCUGCCUUGGACAGAUAUCAUCCUCACACUUCCACUAGGGUUUCAAUCAACCGCAGCUGAUUCGAGUAAGAAAAGGCCAUACCACUUUGGGGAGCUUAAAAGAGCAAUUGUGAGAACGGAUGCUACAAUUGACGAGCUAAGGCUCAACCUCUUGUGUGUCCGGCAACGUAUGAACUAUGAAGUUCCAUGUAGAGAGAAGAGAUGAAAGCUCUGAAGUGGGUGACAAAUUCUAUAAGUUGCAAUCAUACCAUUAAAGGUUCCCUGCUAUUUUCUAAACAUUUUAAUGAGAAGUGGCAGCUCGAUGCUAUGAGCGUUUCUCUGUUCUUCAAAUGGUGGGACAGGUAGCUUAUAACCUAGACUUACCCUCUUCCAGCAGAGUUUGCCCUGUCUUUUAUGUGUCUUAGCUGAGAUGAAGUGUGGGGACAAUCCACCGUUCUCCAUGACCAGCUGAACUCUGAAUUAGAAAUGGUACUGGAGCUAUGUUGCAACCUUCAUAAGGUUGAAGUGCUGUAUUAAUGGCAUGGAUUGCCUGCAUUUGAAGCCACUAGGGAGAACUAUGACAGCAUUCAACAUAGUUUUCCAGCUUUCCAUCUUCAGGACAAGGUGCGAGUUUGGGCGGCUGGUACUAUGAUGCACUAAGCCAAACCAUCUGUUAUUCUCACUUACACCAGGAGCACCGAUUAAGGUAGAUUGAGAUAUUUAUUUAUAACCUUGUAAGCUGGAAUUAUGACGUGGCAACUGGCAAUUCAGUUACAACUGAGAAAGGCAUGGUAAUGAAAGGGGGAGGGAUGAGAGAGAGAGGAUUCAUUCUGAAAGAUUGCAUACUUUUUUAGCUCUUGGGAUUAGAGAGAGAGGAUUCACUCGGAUCUCUGGAUUCAUAUAAUCUGAUUGAUAUAUCUUUAAAUAUCUCCUUUUCUCUCUUUAAUUUCCUUCUCCAUUUUCUUCGUUUUUACCUCAUAUCUCAAAGCAAUUUACAUAUUUCUUAGUUUAUUAUACGCUGCUCUUAUAUUGUCGUUUGCCAUUUCCCUAAAACUGGUUAUUUAUCUGGUAGUAGAAUAUCUUUGCUGAUAUGAUAAUUAAACAUUGCAGAUAUUGAAAACGUACAUUGAGGAUGACAAUGGGGAUAAUAGCAUUGUCAAAAAGUUAAUAUCAAAUUGGAGAGCAGAAACUGCAGGAUGUAUUCUGCAGUACUGUCAUGGUAAAAUUGGAUGUGCUAUUUUAUUACUGUCCAAUUGAAUGGCAUUGCAGUUGUUUUAAUCUUAUUACGUAUAAAUGCUCCAGCUUAGAUAAGAGUCGCUGCAGUGCCCCGCUUCAUUGUUUACCUUAGAAUAAUAUCUGGGUCUGCUCUAAAUGUUGGCCAAACAUGACAGAAGCAAAACAAGAAAGGAUAACAUCUCAUUAAAUCGUUAAAAAGGUUUACAUUAGUUAUGCUGAGAGUUGCAUCUCACUUUUUUCUUGUAUCUUUUACACCAUACUGACUUGUUGUCAAUUCUAAAAUGCUUUUCUUCUUGAUCCCCAAAAAUAAUUGCUGGUAUAUAGCAUUUUGAGAACACCAACUUGCCAAACAAAGGUGGUCGCUUAGGGUUGGGGCGGUGCACAUAAAUCAUCUGAAUGCAGUCACCAAAGUACCUGGUGCAUGAAAAGAAAAAUUGAAAGUUAGAUGCACAUAGGGGUCAUGAAUCUUUUAUUUAUAAGUAGCAAUUGUGUGGAACAAGACGUCUAGGAAAAUUUAAAGAGUUUUCAGCUAGCAAGAUCAUCAAGCGGUUUAUGUUGACUGCAUAUGCGUAAUUUUUGACCUAAAAUAAUAAAAGCGAAACCUUUAGUUUCUAGCAAAUGAAGGAAUUGUAUGAAUACAUACCUUGUAAAAAAUUGGGCAAUCUGAUGGUUAGACACAGGAUGACCUCUUGAGAAUGUGAAAAAAAUUGUUCUAUCCUCUUCUCUAACUUUCUCAAGCAUUGGCACCCAUGGCUGAGCAUAGGGGUUCAAUGCAUUAGUUCUCUCCAUGUCUUACAAAUAAUUACGACUUAUGAGAGAUGUGAAGGAAAACUGGAGUAAACAUUAAACAGGAUAAGAGAUAAGAGAGUUGUGUUUAUGAAUUUGUGGUCUGGUCUCCAAUUGAGCCAGAUGCAGAGAACAGUAGUGAAUUUAUAAUAUAUGAGUGUGAAGGGGAUCAUAGAGAAAUUUUUAAAGGGAAGAAUGCCUGUUUGAUGCUAUUCUAUAUUUGAAUUUCUAUCAUUUUAUUCAUUUUUUUUUGUUUAUCUUGCUUUACUGUAUUUGCUGUAUAAUGAUAGGGAGGACUUUGAACAAGAAGAAAAAUGAUGCUAUCCCAUCGGAAUCUGUAGGAGCCUUAUUUAUUUCCUAAUGUGUUGUUAAUAUUACUUUCUAUUUCAGACGUGAUAUCUAACCAUUUAUGAGCUGCAAUCAUGCUCAAUGUAACCAUCACUCCAGUGCGUCUUGCCCUAGCUAAAUUAGAUUGAGAGAGUAAUGCUACAUAUUUUUACGAACUCCAGAAUAGAAAAAGGGACAUAUAGAAAAAUUUCUUGAUAUAUGGUGAAAUUUGAACCUUAGUCAUUUUUAUUAGGAUUGCCAUACGAGAGAACCAGUAUCCAUUUUCUCCAAGGAAAAAACCAGAUAAACAUGACAGUGAAGGCUCACAGCUGGUAGUUACUUCCUAGAUCUUGAGUGCCACCCCAUAAGACCUAGUUGAUUUGAACUAGUAGAUCCUAUUGGUUUGGUUGCCAUCUCAAAUUAUUUAAACUUCCAAGUGGCCUACUCUUAGUGAACCUUUUGGGGUUAAAUGAUUACAUUUGGUUUCUACUAUCGAGCUUCGCCCCCCUCCCUUUUCAGUUGUUUAUGUUCAUUUCUUAAAUCUUGAACACCAGGCCAUCACUCCUGAGUACCGUGUUGAUUCAAAUGAUCAUAUGUUUUUUUGUUUUAAUGUUGGUCAAAUUUUCCUCAAAGUUGGUUUUUGUGCUACUCAUUCUCCAUAUUUAGUAUGCUGCUGGGUGGAACUCUUGCAUCUAACUUCAUCUAAAAUUCCCUACUCUAACAUUACCCACGCCCUUACUGCUAGCCAAGGGUUAAUGUUAAAUUAUGAUUGAGACUCACACUUCUUUGUUAGGUCAUCUCUUGGUUCUAUGCUUUGAUAAUUUGACGAAUGGAGUAAUUGUUUUAACAUUUUAGUUUGCACUUUGCACAUGUGAUCGUUGUGUUUCCUGCUGACCUAGGUAAUACAUUAAGGUUUACAGGAGCAUGUGGCUUUAGCCAAUAUUAUACCUUUUAUCUUGUGCUACAACUCCAAAUGGUGUGAUAUAUUCAAGAAUGCUUCCAAGACCAUACAUAUUGAUAAAUGGAAUUACUAUUUAUUUGCUGAAUAGACAGUUUCAUCGAAAAAACCAUAACUAUACUUAACAACGAAAUACUCGAAAAAGCCCAUAUACGCCGAAGAUUUUUUGUUGCCAUCGGAAAACUCCUCUUACUACAAGACGCUUACCUAGCCAAUGCUUAGAUCCGGCUCUACCCAACCUUUUUCUGGUUCACUCCAACAUUCCCCACUUGUGCGACUGUUGCUGAGCAGUUUUGGGUUUUUAUUUAUAUCUGAUGCUCUUUAUUCCUCAUUGACCAUAACUCGCUAGAUUUAGAUCGUUGUAGAAUGAUGACGGUUGGUUAUAUAUGUGCAUGAAGCUUGUUAAUACUUUAUAUUGAACUUAAAAGACUUGCGUAUGACUGCCGAGGAAAUUAAAAAUGUCUAACCAAAAUGAACAUAACUGAAUUAGCAAUUCAUGGAAAGAAAUCGUCGAGUUAAACUGAUCAUUAAUGCCUUGAAUCUGAGCAGUGUAUCAAAUAUUGAUUGUCAGUCUACUAAAGUUUGUUAAGAAAAAUUUCAUAACUAAGAAUUUUAGAGGAUGGCGUUCAAGUCAAUGAUAACAUGUGUUGCUAUAUUCCAUCAAGCCUUCCUCUGAGACUAACUUGUUUAUUAACGUACUUAUCAUCUUUGACUAACUGGGUCUGCCUUUAUCUAUUAUCGCCUUGCUCAAUGAGAAACACUUUGUAGCUUGUUGAACUUAUAGGUUAAUGGUUGGGGAAAACCGUCUGGUCCCUAAGAAAGCAAGUUAAUACAUGCUGUGCUUAGGAGCUCUGCUUCUCAGGUUUAUCAGUUGGUGUGGUUUUUAGAGCUUAGAAAAGUCAUUUACUUGAAGGUUUAACAAGAUUACUUAAGGUAUAAUUGACCAGCGUUGUGAGUUCUCUAAAUAUGUGUAUGUUACUUAUGGCUGUGGUUACAUGUUAUAUUUCGACAGAAGGACGAUGACUUGUAGUAAGAUAAGUAGUACUUUUGAACUCAUGUAUGUUUGAUUUAUAUACAAGAUUCGAGCUUUUUUAA